CCAUGCCACGCCCGACCAGAGCACCACCCAGUCCCCAUCCCCACUCCGAGUCCCCAGCUCCAAAGGCACUCCGCCGCCGCCGCCGCCGCCAUCCAUCCAUCUCCGGCGCCGCCGCCGCCGCCAUCCAUCCAUCUCCGCCGCUGCCGCCGCCAUCCAUCCAUCUCCGCCGCUGCCGCCGCCUACCUAUUCCACCCAAGAACCGUAGCCAGCGCUCGCGGCGGACGGUCGGCAUGGAGGAGCCGAUGUCCAGGCUCACCCACGACCUAAUGGCGGAGAUCCUCUCUCGCGUGCCCUACAAAUCACUCUGCGUCUGCAAGUGUGUGUGCCCUGCCUGGCGCGACCUCAUCGCAGAUCCGGAGAGUCGGAAGAAGAUUGUGCAGUCCCUGGCCGGUUUCUUCUACCACAUCCCGGCCGACUCUGCCGAGUCCCGCGGCUUGGCCGUCAACUACGCCGACCUCUCUGCCUUCCCUUGGGCGAGCGUGCCCAGGACCUACCCGCGCUUGCCACUACCGCCAGACAGCGCAGACUGUUUCUUCACUGUCAAGGAUUCCUGCGAUGGGCUGUUUCUUACCCGGAUUGGGACGGGCACGCCGGAGCCACAAUCUGGCUACAUGGUCUCCAAUCCAACUACCGGAAACUUCCGUUGAACCUCUAUCCCGGAGAGAUUGCAGAGAGGAUCCUCAGGAAACUUCCAUUGAAGCUCCGAAGGUUGUACUGAUUUUCCUCUUGGCCUCGCACUCAAGUGUGGAAUAUAUUCAGUCAGAUAUGCAUAUAACCUUACCAGAUCACAGCUACUCCGGGAAAAUCCAAGUGAUGAUGCCAAAGUAACAUCAUCAAACUAGGGGACUAUGGAAAACGGUUGGAGAAAACUAUUGAUAAUUCAAUGUCCUAACAAGUUGAAGGUGGUUUUAUUCAUGUGCGAGCAACCCUAACAAGGCAAUGGUUAGUGAACUGGAUUACUGAAGCAUCAGAGUUCCACUGCUUGAUUUUUGUGCUGGUACUGAUGUCGUGAUGGUUCCUUCGCGUUGCUGAAAAUAUCCAGGCUUAUAUCGAUUUUGUGUUGCUGAUUGGCAUCAGUUCAGCAGGCUCCAAUAGGCGUGAGAUGCUGUCGACGUCAACUCAGAAAUAUAUGAUCUCCGCCACUUGUCGAUGAUCAAUGUGGAUGCUGUGAUUUUUUUUUCUCAGUAUCAUGUUUCAUAGUACCUAGCCUCUACUUCCAGCAAGCAGCCUCCUGUGAGGAAGCCUAGUCCAAAAUCAUGGGAAGAUUCUAAAAAAAUAUCAUGGGAAAUGUCUGUUAAAAACACAAGGGAAAUGCCUGGAAAAAAAGUAGUACUCAUUUUUGAUUUAAAAAUAAGUGACAUAAUUCAUUAUGUAAACGGGGAAAAUAUGAGGUGCAUUUGGGAGCAUGUACUUCUCUAACUAAGUUCAUACUGUUACAUUUUAAA